ACAAGCGGUGGAGCAUGUGGUUUAAUUCGAAAGCAACGCGAAGAACCUUACCAGGUCUUGACAUCCCGAUGCUAUUUCUAGAGAUAGAAAGUUACUUCGGUACAUCGGUGACAGGUGGUGCAUGGUUGUCGUCAGCUCGUGUCGUGAGAUGUUGGGUUAAGUCCCGCAACGAGCGCAACCCCUAUUGUUAGUUGCCAUCAUUCAGUUGGGCACUCUAGCGAGACUGCCGGUAAUAAACCGGAGGAAGGUGGGGAUGACGUCAAAUCAUCAUGCCCCUUAUGACCUGGGCUACACACGUGCUACAAUGGUUGGUACAACGAGUUGCGAGUCGGUGACGGCGAGCUAAUCUCUUAAAGCCAAUCUCAGUUCGGAUUGUAGGCUGCAACUCGCCUACAUGAAGUCGGAAUCGCUAGUAAUCGCGGAUCAGAACGCCGCGGUGAAUACGUUCUCGGGGUUU
rnacentral:rRNA from 1 species